rnacentral:piRNA from 1 species
UGGUUAACGUGCCUUUUAGGGGUUUUCUC